rnacentral:tmRNA from 1 species
GGGGGCGUUAUGGAUUCGACGGGGGUAGUACGAGCAUGAGUUGCGGGUAGUGGGGAGCGUCCGCUUCAUCAACGCUAAAGCCUAUUAAAUGGCAAAUCACAAAACAACUACGCUUUAGCAGCCUAAGAAACUGUUGGCGUGCUCUUACCUAGCAUCGCCCAUGUGACUGGGAUAAGGGCUCAACUAUAGUGGGAUACGCUGAUCGGUCUCCGCCUGGGGUCGGUUAGAGGAAGAUAAUCAGGCUGACCUAACGAGUAGUCGGUUACAGGACGACUCUCGGGUGACAUCAAAGCUGUAACUACACCCGUAGAUGCUUAUGUGGCGUUAUUCUCGGACAGGGGUUCAAAUCCCCUCGCCUCCACCA